GAUGAACGCUGGCGGCGUGCCUAAUACAUGCAAGUCGAGCGAACGGACGAGAAGCUUGCUUCUCUGAUGUUAGCGGCGGACGGGUGAGUAACACGUGGAUAACCUACCUAUAAGACUGGGAUAACUUCGGGAAACCGGAGCUAAUACCGGAUAAUAUUUUGAACCGCAUGGUUCAAAAGUGAAAGACGGUCUUGCUGUCACUUAUAGAUGGAUCCGCGCUGCAUUAGCUAGUUGGUAAGGUAACGGCUUACCAAGGCGACGAUGCAUAGCCGACCUGAGAGGGUGAUCGGCCACACUGGAACUGAGACACGGUCCAGACUCCUACGGGAGGCAGCAGUAGGGAAUCUUCCGCAAUGGGCGAAAGCCUGACGGAGCAACGCCGCGUGAGUGAUGAAGGUCUUCGGAUCGUAAAGCUCUGUUAUUAGGGAAGAACAGAUGUGUAAGUAACUGUGGACAUCUUGACGGUACCUAAUCAGAAAGCCACGGCUAACUACGUG
rnacentral:rRNA from 1 species